ACCUGAGUGGCUCAGUCGGUUAAGCGUCUGACUUCAGCUCAGGUCACGAUCUCACGGUUUGUGGGUUCAAGCCCCACAUCAGGCU
rnacentral:tRNA from 1 species